rnacentral:pre_miRNA from 1 species
AGAGUGAUAGCUGGGUCAAAUGGUGAUUCCAUUCCCAGUUUUCAAAGGACUCUCCAUACUGCUUUCCAUAGCAGUUGCACCAAUUUGCAGUCCCACCAGCAGU